CAAUACACCGGAGUUCGCCGCGUACGACACAUGUUCACAGAGUCGAGUUGUUUGGGAUUGCAGCUCUAAUCAGGUGGUAAGUUUCAUCGAAAGCUAAAUAUUGGCGAGAGACCGAUAGCGAACAAGUACCGUGAGGGAAAGAUGAAAAGAACUUUGAAAAGAGAGUGAAAGAGUACUUGAAAUUGUUAAGAGGGAAGCGAUAGAAACUAGUCGUGACCCACCUCAAUUUGCUCUCGAUCCGUUCGCGUGUUGCUGUGUUAGGAUAGGUUACUCUUCCUUCAUGGUUUCAUCGCGGGCAGGUCGUGAGUUUCUGUGAGGUGGUUGUCGGGUCAGCAUGGGUUCAUUCGGUACGAGAAAGUUCAGGGGAAGGUGAGGUGAGCUUCGGUUCACUUGUUUAGCCCUUGGACCCUAGUACCGUUCUGGACUGAGGAAUGAUUUCAUGCGCCACACGGCCAAGGGUUCGCCCUUGUGCAUGAAGACGAUGCUGACGAAAUGGUUCCUAUCGACC
rnacentral:rRNA from 1 species